rnacentral:rRNA from 1 species
UACGAAGGGGGGCUAGCGUUGCUCGGAAUUACUGGGCGUAAAGGGCGCGUAGGCGGCAUAGUCAGUCAGGCGUGAAAUUCCUGGGCUCAACCUGGGGGACUGCGCUUGAUACGGCUGAGCUAGAGGAUGGAAGAGGGUCGUGGAAUUCCCAGUGUAGAGGUGAAAUUCGUAGAUAUUGGGAAGAACACCGGUGGCGAAGGCGGCGACCUGGUCCAUUACUGACGCUGAGGCGCGACAGCGUGGGGAGCAAACAGGG